GCCAGUGUGGUGGAAUUGGUAGACACGCCGGAUUCAAAAUCCGGUUCCUUCGCGGGAGUGACGGUUCGAGCCCGUCCACUGGUACCA
rnacentral:tRNA from 1 species